rnacentral:rRNA from 1 species
AUACGGAAGGCCCGAGCGUUAAUCAGAAUUACUGGGCUUAAAGGGUGCGCAGGCGGACUGGUAGGUAUCUCGUGGAAGCCCCCGGCUCAACCGGGGAAUUGCGGGGUAAACCACCAGUCUUGAGGUAGGUAGAGGUGAGUGGAACCAUGGGUGGAGCGGUGAAAUGCGUAGAUAUCCAUGGGAACGCCAAUGGCGAAGGCAACUCACUGGGCCUUACCUGACGCUCAGGCACGAAAGCGUGGGGAGCGAACGGGAUUAGAAACCCUAGUAGUCC